AGAGUUUGAUCCUGGCUCAGGACGAACGCUGGCGGCGUGCUUAACACAUGCAAGUCGAACGCUGAUCCAUCUUCGGGUGGUGAGGAGUGGCGAACGGGUGAGUAACACGUGGGCAACCUGCCCCCGGCUCUGGGAUAACUCCAAGAAAUUGGGGCUAAUACCGGAUGUGACCGCUGGCCGCAUGGUCUGGUGGUGGAAAGGGUUUCCGGCUGGGGAUGGGCCCGCGGCCUAUCAGCUUGUUGGUGGGGUAGUGGCCUACCAAGGCGACGACGGGUAGCCGGCCUGAGAGGGUGACCGGCCACACUGGGACUGAGACACGGCCCAGACUCCUACGGGAGGCAGCAGUGGGGAAUAUUGCGCAAUGGGCGGAAGCCUGACGCAGCGACGCCGCGUGGGGGAUGACGGCCUUCGGGUUGUAAACCUCUUUCAGCAGGGACGAAGCGCAAGUGACGGUACCUGCAGAAGAAGCACCGGCCAACUACGUGCCAGCAGCCGCGGUAAUACGUAGGGUGCAAGCGUUGUCCGGAAUUAUUGGGCGUAAAGAGCUCGUAGGCGGUUGGUCGCGUCGGCUGUGAAAACCCGGAGCUCAACUCCGGGCCUGCAGUCGAUACGGGCCGACUUGAGUGUUGCAGGGGAGACUGGAAUUCCUGGUGUAGCGGUGAAAUGCGCAGAUAUCAGGAGGAACACCGGUGGCGAAGGCGGGUCUCUGGGCAACAACUGACGCUGAGGAGCGAAAGCGUGGGGAGCGAACAGGAUUAGAUACCCUAGUAGUCC
rnacentral:rRNA from 1 species